AGACCAUGAUGUGGACAGCUCCUCAACAAAUCCUUGAACUGUUCCCAACAAUCACACAAAGUUUCAUUCUUCUAUUGAAGAAACCCUGUUAUAUCAUCCCUCAAUUU
rfam:Ricinus communis cultivar Hale ctg_1100012361511, whole genome shotgun sequence.